rnacentral:rRNA from 1 species
CCGGCGCACGGGUGAGUAACACGUAUCCAACCUGCCGUCUACUCUUGGCCAGCCUUCUGAAAGGAAGAUUAAUCCAGGAUGGCAUCAUGAGUUCACAUGUCCGCAUGAUUAAAGGUAUUUUCCGGUAGACGAUGGGGAUGCGUUCCAUUAGAUAGUAGGCGGGGUAACGGCCCACCAAACCUUCGAUGGAUAGGGGUUCUGAGAGGAAGGUCCCCCACAUUGGAACUGAGACACGGUCCAA